rnacentral:rRNA from 1 species
GCUGGAUAUAUUGUUAACCAUGCUCUUUGCGCGCCUAGAGAGCAACAAGCAAGGUAAUUAGCGAAUUAGGGCUUAAUAUAAGUCAACCAAACAACCUAGGCAGUAAAUUAGGGCUUUGCUACUCGACGUAUACUCCCUUCGUUCGGAAUUACUUGUCUCAGAAAUGGAUGUAUCUAAAACUAAAAUACGUCUAGAUACAUUCAUUUCCGCGACAAUUAAUUCCGAACGGAGGGAGUACAUAUAUAGAGCUCCGACUCAUGCUUCACCUAACCAGAUUGCUGGCUACAUGAACUAACGCGCUGUUAGAAUUAGUUUAUAACCGUAAUAGACGGUUUGUAUGCCCAAAGCGCCGCAUGGACGCGUUCUCAUUGUACAGACGCCUGUGAUCACCGAACAAGCGCCUUCUCCUUGUAACCGACUUUGCCAAGAGACGCAAAGCCUGGUAUAAAUACCAUCCGAUGAUCAAUGAAAGAUAGAAGUUCGAUUCAUUCUCAUUUACAUUCAACACGUUAUCAGCACGAGCUCUGCCGAGAGCUCUGCCCAGAAUCACAGGAAAAGAAGAACGGAAGAAAGGGAGAGGUCGGUGCCUGGAGGACGAGGUGACGGCGCGCGGACCAUGGCCCAUCGGCGACGGUACCCAGCGCGUGCGGCCGCCUUCGGACUAGAUGCAGGUACCCCCGGCGGAGGCCGUGGCCAUCAUCCCCGUCGCCGCCGGCCACCACUCCAUCUUCGCCGCGCACGGGCGCUCGCCGCCGUCUCCUGGCCAUUGGCGUCCCGCCGCCAAGAUGCUACUCCGGCCGCACCGGCAAAUGGAGCCCGGCGGCGCUCACGCUCGCCACCGAGUGAAUUGAGUCUACAGAAAAGAAGAGAGGAAGAAGGGGGAUAGGAAGAUCAGAAACAUCGGUAAGUAAAUUUCCUGAGGCUUCCCCAUCGCGACCUCCUUCGGAGGACCGGCGGCGGUGGCCAACAGCACCCAUCGCGGUGAUCGGCCCUGCGCGAACCUCCGCAACGCUCGCGUCCGCGCUUGCCUCAGCUGUAGCCAUGCCCGCGGUAUAGCACGGCUUGCAUCCUUGCAGUCCGCCGUGUACGCGGCCGCGGCCUCCUGGCACGGUGGUGCUCCUGGCGCGCUUGGUCUUCACGACCAGCGGUUGGGCGACGCGCGCCGUCCGGAACCACCCGGCGGCAGCCGACGGAGACCUCCCGUCACCAGCGCGGCCACCGACGCCGCCACCCGAAGCUCGCCGCAUCCUGCGCCGCGGCGGCAAUGGCCUCCCACUAGCACGGUUUCCGCGCAGGCACAUGGGAGCCCGCCUCCCUUGGCCUCCCCAAUGGCGCUGUGCUUAGCACCCGCCUCCCCGGCGGCUCCUCCGACGAGGAAGAGCACGGCGGGAGCACCUUUCCGCGUUGAUGCGGCCGAGCGGCCAUGGGAGCCUCCGCGUGUGUUGGUCAAAGGAUUGGGGAUUCGGACGUGGCUUGAGUCGCUCUCUCUCCUAGUUAUUCUCUCCUUAUCCGAUCGACCAGCCAGGCUGGUCUUUUCCAGGCUGCCAAUUAGCCCAUCUAGAUACGUUAUGGCCAGGCUCCAGCAAAGUACUACUCCCUCCGUCCCGAAAUACUUAUCCGAG